AUGACGCUCAUUAGUUGGAACUGUCGAGGAAUUGGGCAGCCUCGUACAGUUCGGGAGCUUGUGGGCCUAGUGCGCAUGUAUAAGCCUAAGUUAGUUUUCCUAUCCGAGACUCGGAAAAGGGAUGAUUACGUGAAUAAACUGAGAUGGAGGCUAGGACUCCGGCAUUGUAUUGUGCAGCCCGGGAUUGGCAAGAGCACCGAUAUUGCACUGUUUUAUGUUGAGGAAGUUGAAAUAAAGGAAAACGUUGUUGGACCGAGGUAUAUCGAUGUGCUUAUCCGCUUAAAUCCUAAUGGCACGCAAUGGAGAGGCACGUUUAUAUACGGUGAACCCAAAUCUCAUGAAAGACACCGCAUGUGGGAGCUCCUAAGGAGGAUUAGGAACAACUCAACUGAACCGUGGCUCAUGAUUGGCGAUUUUAAUGAAACCUUGUGGCAAAGUGAGCAUUUUUCGAAAGCAAAAAGAUCCGAGAAAAAUAUGGCUGAUUUUCGCACGGUACUUGCGGAAUGUAAUCUGCAGGACCUGGGCUUCAAAGGAACCACAUGGACGUAUGACAAUAAGCAGCGGGGGGAUAAAAAUGUUAAAGCCCGCCUUGACAGAGGAGUGGCUACCCCGGAGUGGAACGGAAUUUUUGGUGAGGCAUCUAUCAAACACAUAUAUUCUUUGAGGUCAGACCAUGCACCCUUAUUAUUG
rnacentral:rRNA from 1 species